AGAGACUGAGAGAGACAGAGCGUGAGCAGGGGAAGGGCAGAGAGAGAGAGGGAGUCACAGAUUCUGAAGCAGGCUCCAGGCUCUGAGCUGUCAGCACAGAGCCCGAAGCGGGGCUCGAACUCACGAACCAUAAGUUCAUGAGAUCAUGACCUGAGCCGACGUCGGGUGCUUAACCGACUGAGCCACCCAGGCGCUCCUGGACUUCUGGAAUGUGAGAGGGAAAUACACUUUUGUCAAGUGUAAUCCGCUGGUAUUUGGGGAUUUCUUUUGAAAAAUUUAAAGUCCAGUUAGCAGACCGUGUAAUAUUAGUUUCAGGAGUACAAGAUAGUGACUCAACACUUCCAUACAUCACCUAGUGCUCAUCCGGACAGGUGCACUCCUUAACCCCCAUCACCUGUGUAACCCAUCCCCCCACCCACCUGCCCUCCAGUAACCAUCAGAUUGUUCUCUACAGUUAAGAAUCUGUUUCUUGGUUUGUCUCUCUCUUUCUCUCUCUCUUUUUUCCCCUGUUGCUCGUUUGUUUUGUUUCUUAAAUUCCACACAUGAGUGAAAUCAUACGGUAUUUGUCUUUCUCUGACAGACUUAUUUUACUUAGCGCAAUACUCUCUACUCCAUCCGUGUUCUUGCGAAUGGCAAGAUUUCAUUCUUUUUCAUGACCGGCCCCAAGCCACCCUGAAAUCGCCGAGUGUGUCGCCUGGCUCCGCGCCUCUUCUGGGCCCCCUCCGCCAACCCCCAAGUGACCUGAUGGUGGUCCGAAGUCCCCUCUGAGUAACCCUGCCCCCAGCACUUCCCACCUGAGCUUUCACACCGGAUGGCCUCACAGCACUUGUAGGAGGGAGGCGCACCGUACUAGAGCAAGAUUCAGGAUGCCUCAAGCUGACACUUGACUCCGGUGGCUUCCACGCCUGUCACUGAUGGGAUUACCAAGGCUCAGCCUUUGCCCUCGUGCCUGUGUGUGUUCCUUUGGCCUGUGGCAUUACUAGCAUCUCGUCACCAUAACCCCCUCACUCCUGUCUGCCCUUUGGACCGCUCUUUGUGCUCUGGACUUGUGCAGCCAACUGCCCGCCAACAUCCCCACUGGGAUGUCUUACAGGCACCUCGGACGUCACAAGUGCAAACUGACCUCGCUCGGUCACCCACAAACUUACUUCUCUUCCACUCUGGUCUUGGCAUCUUCAACAUCUCCUCUCCCUCUUCUUCUGCAUCCACUCCACCCCAACACCACUGUGCCUGCACCGUUGCUGGAGCUUCCUCCUGCCUCCCUGAAGCCACCCUGACUGGCCAGCCACUCCUUACCAUCCUAAAAUGAAGGUCAUUCUCGGAGGGCAGCAGUCACAUCCCCUUCAUCUCUGGGAUCCCUUGAACACCAGCAGAGGGUCUGGUACAAAAUAGGAGCCGAUGAAUAUCCAAUCAGCAGAGUUUAUUGAGGAUCUACUACACACCAGGAAUAUUCUUUCAUGGGUGACAGCUUCCAGGGAAGGUCAGCUGAACAGAGCCUCUGGUCACAGUCUGCCUUCAGCUCUCCUGAGAGGGGACUGGAGCCUCUUCUGGAGAAGCUGGUGAGGUUAUGAAUGGGUCCUGAAAACCUGGGGCUCCCAGCAAGUCGAUGGCGAGUUUGGGUGCUAACUUCCCUGAACGGGUCUUCCAUUUGAGCAGGAGAUAGACGUUGGAGGAGGGACAGCGGGCAGAGAGAAAGGGCAGCCCGCCCUCCACUGUUUGGCAAACGUGUGUUUACCAUGAGCGGACGCAGGACCCUUGCCACGGCGGAGGCCUCCACAGGAAUCAGAGUUGGGACAAAGGAAGGAGGAAGCAUUUGGCUUCACAUUCUAGAGAAAGAAGACCCUACUGGGCUGCAGACUCCCCUCCAGGGGCUGUUGGAAAGUGGCUGGACCUCUUCUGCUUCUCCCCAACCACUCUGCCACUCUGCCAGUUACCAGUUACCAGCAGGGACUGUGCAGUCACUGAAACCAGCACCCUAGGGAGGCCCAACUCUGGACACACCAGCCACACAGAAAAGAGACGCCGACACCCCAAGGAGGUGAUUACGCCAGGGGGGCAGCGAAACACAGAGCCUCUUGUCUCUCCUCUCCCUCUCUUCCCACACAGCCUUCCCCCACCAUGAGCGUUUGAUUAGCUGUGAGGUGUUUACCUUGUCACUAGAUGGAACUGGGAACUGGGUCUUUUUUGUAUCUGAAAGUCACCAGAAAGCCACAGGACUUGCCAAGAUGGUCGGAAUGGGAAGAGGAGGAUGAAGGUUGGAUUUAGGGGAAAAUGGCUACACCCCCACCCUUCACUGAGCUGAGCACCUUGGGAGCCAGUGACCAGAGCAGCUUCCCCGAGGGCACCCAUUCUGCGCCCCGAGAGCCCAGCUGUGCAGGGGCCCUCGGUGAGGGGCGACACAGAAUCUAAGGGAUGAGUGGCUCCCGGAGUGAGGCUCAGCCCUUGUCCUUGCUGGGUACCAAGCGGCAACUGCUGUUGUCAUCAGGGAGCUCUCCUAGGCUGGCAACGCCAUCCAGGAAGUGCUAUCCUGGGGGGCCGCCCUCCCUCCUGCCCUCCUGUUCUCCCUCUCUAGCGUCAGGCCCGGGCCAGAGGGAGCCGACAGCAAAGGUCCCUGGAACCCAGAGGAGCAAAUCCCCUGGACUCAGUGAGGAGGUGGGAGGUCCGGGCCAGGGUGGAGACACAAGGCGGUUCUGAGCCCAGACCUGGCUGAGGGCACAAGUUCAGGAGGCAGCAGGGUGGUUUCCCAUGCUGCUUUUGUAAGGCCUUGUAACUUAAGCCCCCAGUCUGCAGAGUGAAUAAAGGCGGACCUUUUUUCA